GGUUAUAGCUCAAUGGUAGAGCGUUUGCCUUGUAUGUAUGAAGCCCUGGGUUAGAUCCUCAGCACCA
rnacentral:tRNA from 1 species